rnacentral:lncRNA from 1 species
CAAAAUGUUUUUCUUGUUUUGCUUAGGCACCUUUUGGAUGAACCCUCAGUACUGGCUGAAUGUUUUAGCCGUUGAAGAUGGUAAGAAAAGCCAGGGUUCCUGCAGUGUGGUUAUAUCCCUGAUGCAGAAACACAGCAGCAAACACCGGAACCGAGCUCCUCACCUCUUCAUUGGAUUUUCACUCUACAGGGUGGACCUACAGCUGGUGCAGAACACUUUUCUGUUUUGUCCCUUAACAGUACCAGGAAAGCAACAGAAAGUUGCCCCCAUCUUUCUUCACCCAACAUCAGCCUGUGAACAAGCACCAGGUUUUCCUCGAUGAGCGGGAAGUGACUCAUGACUUCCACCUGGAGCCUGGUGUCUAUGUGAUUGUCCCAUCCACCCUGGAGCCUCAGAAGGAGUCUGAAUUCAUCCUGCGUGUCUUCUCCAGGAAACAUGUGCUUCAGUAAGAUGCUGCUACGCCUCUGCCAGCACCUAAUUCUCUGGGAUGGUGGGAUGAUCUGGUAUUUCUAAUCUAAUGGGGGCAGCAUAAAGACUUCAGUCUGCAAAAGGCAGCACAAUCUGUUCUGGAGAGGGUGGCUGUGGGUUUCUCUCGCCUUAGGAUUCUCAGUGCCUGAAGCACUGCUUUUGGCCUUACCCUUUCAAGAAGUGUUGAGCUAGGCCCACACAAAGGAUUCUUGCAGCAUGCUCAUGUUUGAGACUGUAGAGAAGGACAAGUUUUUGAUGCACCAUUGGUUUGCCAGGAGGCCCUGCUGGCAAUGCUAGGGUGGUUUCUUGUGCAGAAAUGAUGCUUUGGAGACUUCAGAUGCCAGCAGCCCUUGGGGAGCCAUAUGGAUGUGAGGGCUUCCCUUACUGCGGCUGUUACACUAGGGAAAAAACAUAUGCUGCAACAGCGGAUUGGGGCCCCAUCUAGGGAUGGGGGAUGCCACCUGUGAUAGACAAACACACAACUCUUGGAUAUCUCCUUAAUGUGUCUGACUUUUUUGCACCUCUAGGGAAAUGGGUGGGAACACCAGUUUCACCCUUUCUAAGGUGAGUGAGUAUAAGGGAAGUGGGAGGUCUGUGGUUCAGUCUUCAGCUCUGCAUGUUGGGUUUUUCCUGGUGCUCUGCCCUAACAGAGAGGCUGAGUGAGAAUGUGAGUGCUUGUGUUGUGGCACUUUUGAAAGUCCUAAAGAAAGGACUCUAAUGCAG